GACGAACGCUGGCGGCGUGCUUAACACAUGCAAGUCGAACGAAGUGGCGAACGGGUGAGUAACGCGUAAUCAACCUGCCCUUCAGAGGGGGACAACAGUUGGAAACGACUGCUAAUACCGCAUACUGAAGGAGGGGAUUGCGUCUGAUUAGCUAGUUGGAGGGGUAACGGCCCACCAAGGCGAUGAUCAGUAGCCGGGCUGAGGGGGGGAGCCGGCACAAGGGGGCUGAGAAACGGCCCAGACUCCGACGGGACGCAUCAGGGGGGAAUGUGCCGCAAUGGACGAAAGUCUGACUGAGCAAAGCCGCGUGAGUGAUGACGGCUUUCGGGUUGUAAAGCUCUGUUAGGCGGGACGCGGUACCGGAAUAGAAAGCCACGGCUAACUACGGGCCAGCAGCCGCGGUAAUAC
rnacentral:rRNA from 1 species